AUGAUAAUAGCCUCGAGUACAAUAAUUUUGUAAUGUUACCAAUACCAACAUAAUAUUUUUUUUUAUUUUUAAUGUAAAAUAAUUUAACAUUUUAAUUAUACGUUGCACUGAUUUUAUCAUUUAUAAGCCUCGAUUACACGGGGCGAAUUUACUCGCUGCUACUAAAUUCGCUCAAUGUAAUCGACCCAGUCGUUUACUCGCCGCAUGCUAAGUACUUGCUACUCGCUGGCUCAUUAAAAGUUGACAGCCGGGCUACAUUUUCGCUACUCGCUGGCUAUUUCACACUCUAGCGAGUAAUCGCCUAUAAUAAUCGCUUUGCGCAAUUGAUAUGACCAGAAAAAUUGAUAGUGUGCUUGCGAUUAGUUGUUGCAAAAUGUCGGAGGAUGUACUUCGCGCAGGUGUUUAAAUACCACAGACUUUAACUCGUAAUUAAUAUAAUAAUAUUUCAUAAUUUAUACAAAUAAUACUUGUUAUACGCAUACGCGACGUAUGGUUGUGACACGCCACGAGCGUAAUCGCGCAAUGUAAUAUUGUAAUCGGACGGGUCGUUACACGCUCACUCGCGAGCGACUUUGGUUGCUGUCACGCGGCAAGUUAAUUCACCCUAUGUAAUCGAGGCAAUGCAAUAUGCC